UACAGAGGAGCCAAGCGUUGUCCGGAUUGACUGGGCGUAAAGCGCACGCAGGCGGUUUGCGCGCGUGGGGUGUGAAAUCUGGCCGCUUAACGGCCAGGCGCCAUCCCAUACGGCGCGACUGGAGUGAGUGCAGAGGUCGAUGGAAUUGCCGGUGUAGUGGUGAAAUGCGCAGAUAUCGGGAAGGAACACCCGUGGCGAAGGCGGUUCUCUGGGACGGUACUGGACGCUGAGACGCGAAAGCGUGGGGAGCAAACAGG
rnacentral:rRNA from 1 species